rnacentral:rRNA from 1 species
GACGAACGCUGGCGGCGUGCUUAACACAUGCAAGUCGAACGGAAAGGCCCUGCUUUUGUGGGGUGCUCGAGUGGCGAACGGGUGAGUAACACGUGAGUAGCCUGCCCUUGACUUUAGGAUAACUUCAGGAAACUGGGGCUAAUACCGGAUAGGAGCUCCUGCUGCAUGGUGGGGGUUGGAAAGUUUCGGCGGUUGGGGAUGGACUCGCGGCUUAUCAGCUUGUUGGUGGGGUAGUGGCUUACCAAGGCUUUGACGGGUAGCCGGCCUGAGAGGGUGACCGGCCACAUUGGGACUGAGAUACGGCCCAGACUCCUACGGGAGGCAGCAGUGGGGAAUAUUGCACAAUGGGCGGAAGCCUGAUGCAGCAACGCCGCGUGCGGGAUGACGGCCUUCGGGUUGUAAACCGCUUUCGCCUGUGACGAAGCGUGAGUGACGGUAAUGGGUAAAGAAGCACCGGCUAACUACGUG